rnacentral:lncRNA from 1 species
GGCUUUAAGGAGUUAUGGUAUUGUGUAGGGGGUGGUUCUGUAUUAGAGAAUAGGUUAGAGCUUUUGACUAAUGAUAGAAGAGCCAUGCAUAUGAUAAAUUUAGCUAGGCUCAAUGGUCAAGUGCAUCUAUUUGUUGUUCACCUAGCCUCCCAACCUGAGAUCAUAUACUUGUUAGAAAAUGCUUCUCAUGAUAUAGGUGAAGUAGAAGCUGAAAAUGUGAUGCCUGAUAGUGGUAAGGGUGAGUGUGAAAAGGAAGGUGGUGGUGAGUGUGAAGAAGAAGUUGAUGGUGAGUGUGAAAAGGAAGGUAGUGGUCAGAGAGCUGAAUAAGGUGAUGGUGAGUGUGAAAGGGAAGGUGGUGGUCAGAGAGUUGAACAAGGUGAUGAUGAGUGUGAAAAGGAAGGUGGUCAUGAUGAGUGUGAGCAGCAAGGUGAUGGUGAUGGUGAGUGUGAACAACAAGGUGAUGCUGAGUGUGAGCAACAAGGUCAUGGUCAAGAUAUUGUACCUGUUGAAGAAGAAAGAUGUCAGGGUGAUGGGGUUGUUGAAGGUCAAAUUGAAACCCAAUGUGAAGGAGAUACUGCUAUUGUCCGUAGUUGUAGCUCUAGUGGUGAGGAUAACAAUGGUGAUGGCAAUGUUCUAGUCUAAAAACACAAUACACAAACGAUCAGGUAAGGAAACACAAAAGAAAAACAACAAACGACGACAUAUCUAAGCCAUACACAAAACACAAUACAUCAUGUUCUAGUCUAAAAACUUAUAUAGUUCUUCUUCAUGGACUAUGGAUGAGUUUCGUAGUGUGAUGGCUUAGCCUCGAGGACAGGAACAUGGUAGUGGGUCUGGAGCUGCUGAAACUUCAGGAGGACAAAAUGAUGACCAGGAGGAUGAUGAAGAUUUUGAGGAUGCCCAGGAGGAUAAGGAUGAUGAUGACUCAGAUGAGGAUCUACGUUGAGAGCAUCUACCGAUGGAUGCCAGCAUAUGAUAGAGAUUUUUCUUUUUCUUUUUCUUUGUACUUUG